rnacentral:tRNA from 1 species
UCCCUGGCGGUCUAGUGGUUAGGAUUCAGUACUUGAACUGCUGCAGCCUGAGUUCAAUCCCCGGCCUGGGAG